rnacentral:lncRNA from 1 species
CGGCACUUGUGAGACAUGUCACAAUUUAUCAUCAUUUUAUCGCGGCAGGCAGUCCUAUGCAUGAGCAAUUCAUGGCGGUGCGCAUGGCGUGGAAUGGAGUGAAUUGAUGUUGUCAGGGGGCUGGUUGCAAUGGCCGAUACCGGUACCUGUGGUCCUGUGCGUCUCUGCGUGUCCUGUACAGUGUAUUCCCCCAAAUGGAUAGGGAGGGCAUGGUUGCAGGCCUGGCCAGAUCAGGUGUCUGGGUUUUAUCCCUCGCCUGCGUGUGCGUGCUUGUAUCUAACUGUACCACUUCAAUUAGGUCAAGGUUACCUGGCCCCUGUAGAGACGUGGAGGCUCAGACAAUAAGACAAUUGGUCUUAGCUCAAUGCAAACAGUGCAAAGAUUGAUUACAUUUGCUGAGUCUGCUUGUGGACAGAGAGAUGUGCGGUGUGAGGACUGUCGGCAGGAGCAUUGAUAGUAUGACAGUGGAGCGUGAAGAGGGAGAGGGACGGAGGGAGGCUGCGUGGUGCUGGCAGAGGGACGGAGGACGAGGUGGGCACCAUGCGGCCUUUGCAAUGCAUUCAAAGCUUCGCCCAAAGCCUUAACUUAUCAGGAUACCGUAUUGCUUGAAGCAGGAGUGCCGUCGCUGGUCACGCAACUUAAGAGAACUGCAGGGAAACAAGCAUCGAACCGGGGGUCGUGAUGGAGGCAUAGAUUUUGCUCUUGCGGCUCCUCGGGCGCCUGGUACACAGGGACACUUUAUCAGUGCACGAUAGCUAUAAGACGAAACAAUAUGGUGGUUUGCCUCGGUGCAGAGAACAGCAGUGCUGACAACUGAGCGCUCCCAAUUGUUGCCUUCUCUCCUACUGGAACUAUGACCGAGCCAAGCACCAGUGGCAAGCGCCAUAGAGAGGAUGAAGGUGUUGGAAACCUCGGCUGGCUGGCGAGCAGCGGUAUGCUGCCUCGCAAGCGGCAAGACAUUUCGGGAGUCGGCAAUGCGAGCAUUAUGGAGCUACAAGCACAACUUUAUCGCACGCAAGAAAAUGUGAAAUUGAAAGCAAGUGGCGUCGAGGUCCCCGACCGGCGAACUUCGGGGUUCAACGUCGCAUCGCUUAUGCAGCGACGAAACACGGGCGUGGAAGAGCGCGAUCGACGGGACAAGCUUGAAGUCAAGGUGAGGCGGGGUCUGGGAGUCCGCAAAUGCGACGUAGGGGCGGUGCUACGCUUGACGCGGACACUGGCCUCAGCAGUUCUGGACGACGCCCCGCGCGGUUUCCCCUCCACGCCCCUCCCGCACAGACCACCGCUGACCGCGUCGGGGAGUGUUACGCCGCGCUAGAGCGCAAGGCGCAACUAUACGAGAAACUAGGUAGGCGCUGCGACUGCUGCAGCCGUGCGCCGUGAACAAUGCCACACGGCACCACUGCCAUCCCUACCCCGCCAUUCCACCACGGCCACGUUGCACACCCCUCGCCGUCGAUGUAUGCGGACUCGCACAGGCUGUCCAGCUCGCCAUCUUCCACACGGCUACCAUAUGCCUGUACAAACUCCCUCGACCCUUUGCCAGCCCUAUCUACCCAUUGAUCGCUGUGCUUCUGCUCGACCGCUGUUCCGCUGCUGUUGCUGCUGCUGCUGCUACUGCUGCUGCUGCCGCAGCUCGCGGCGAGUUGGACGACGAGGGCGAGCAGUACGAGGUGGACUUCCUGCGCAAGGGCGGGGCGGCGGAGGAGGAGGCGGGUGGAGGCGAGGGCCGGCGCGGCGGCGACCUGGUGGACACCAUGCUGCAGGCAGUGUCGGGGACAGGUGAGGCGGGGGCGGAUGGGGGCAAGGAGUCCACGGGCCUUGUAGUCGGACUGCCCGAGCCGCCACCCUGACGGAGAGGGUCAACAAGUGUGUGCUGCGGCUGACCUGUCGGCAGAGCGUGUUGCUGCUGUUCGGCGCUCGGCCCGCGGGAUCUCACCACCCUCAGCCCCCGCCGCUGCUCGGCUGCAACCAUUGAGGCAGGACAGCAAGGGUUUAGGCAGGGUAGUAUGGACUGAGGCAGGGUAAUGCGGACUGGGCAAGGCAACCACCCGACACAUAGCGUGUCCCGGUCUAUUGUAUUCUUCUCUUGUGCGGAGACCGCACGUCUGAACCGCUCCUACUCCGCGCUGCACUUGCGCUCCUGACCACCUCCUGGCCACCUGUCGGCAUGCGGCCCCGCACACAGGCGGCAUGAUGACUGCGGACAUGGCGCGGGAACGGGAGCGGCGCGACUGGGAGCGGGACCAGCAGCGCAUCAUGGCGGACGAGGAGGCGGAGGAGCGGAGGCGGAAGCAGAAAGAGGUGCGUCCAACACAAGCGGAGGUCGGGGACCAAUGGCACCAUUGUUGUAUGCUGUUUAACCCGGGUUACCCUAUGCCGGCGAUGCUGCCUGUGAGCAGUUGAUAAGCAGUGCCUAACCUGCGGUGGCACGUCGUCGCAUGCGGUUUGCACAGGCGCUGCUUUGGCUUGUGGGGGCUGUCGGUGGAGGCGCUGCUGCCCGAGGUGACGGUGCCGGUGCCUGAGGUCCUGCGCAGCCGCAGCGAGUGGUGCACCACCUACCUGGAUGAGGACAUGCGGGUGGGGCGCGGCAGCGGCGGCGCGCUGUUCCUGUUCCGGCGCGGCGGCGCGGACGACGUCACCGAGGCGGCGGGCGCCAUGGGCGGCAGCCUGGGUGCGGGCUCCGGCAUGGGCAUGGGCUUGGGCGUGGGCUUGGGCGCGGUGGCUGCGGAUGCCCGCGCGCCGGUGAUGCGGCCGCUGUGAGGCGCGUGGGAGGAGGGGCGGGUGGCAGGAGGGAAGUGGAGCCUGGCGGCCGGCGCCGCGGGUGUGUAGCGGUGUGCCCGUGUGUGUGCGGGUGCGUGUACGUGUACGUGUACGUGUACGUGUACGUGUACGUGUACGUGUACGUGUACGUGUACGUGUGUGUGUGUGUGUGUGUGUGUGUGUACAUGUGUGUGUGUCUACAUGUGUGUGUACAUGUGUGUGUACAUGUGUGUGUACAUGUGUGUACCUGUGUGUACAUGUGUGUACAUGUGUGUGUGUGUGUUGAGGUGGGCAUGGUGUGGCUGUGUGGGCGAGGAGGAGCACAGCGCUUCCAUCCGGCACUUGUGAGACAUGUCACAAUUUAUCAUCAUUUUAUCGCGGCAGGCAGUCCUAUGCAUGAGCAAUUCAUGGCGGUGCGCAUGGCGUGGAAUGGAGUGAAUUGAUGUUGUCAGGGGGCUGGUUGCAAUGGCCGAUACCGGUACCUGUGGUCCUGUGCGUCUCUGCGUGUCCUGUACAGUGUAUUCCCCCAAAUGGAUAGGGAGGGCAUGGUUGCAGGCCUGGCCAGAUCAGGUGUCUGGGUUUUAUCCCUCGCCUGCGUGUGCGUGCUUGUAUCUAACUGUACCACUU